rnacentral:rRNA from 1 species
UACGGAGGGUCCAAGCGUUAUCCGGAAUCAUUGGGUUUAAAGGGUCCGUAGGCGGUUUUGUAAGUCAGUGGUGAAAGCCCAUCGCUCAACGGUGGGACGGCCAUUGAUACUGCAAGACUUGAAUUAUUAGGAAGUAACUAGAAUAUGUAGUGUAGCGGUGAAAUGCUUAGAUAUUACAUGGAAUACCAAUUGCGAAGGCAGGUUACUACUAAUUGAUUGACGCUGAUGGACGAAAGCGUGGGGAGCGAACGGG